CCUACGGGGGGCUGCAGUGAGGAAUAUUGGUCAAUGGACGGAAGUCUGAACCAGCCAAGUAGCGUGCAGGAUUGACGGCCCUAUGGGUUGUAAACUGCUUUUGUUGGGGAGUAAAGUGGGGCACGCGUGCCUUUUUGCAUUUACCCUUCGAAUAAGGACCGGCUAAUUCCGUGCCAGCAGCCGCGGUAAUACGGAAGGUCCAGGCGUUAUCCGGAUUUAUUGGGUUUAAAGGGAGUGUAGGCGGUCUGUUAAGCGUGUUGUGAAAUUUAGGUGCUCAACAUCUACCUUGCAGCGCGAACUGGCGGACUUGAGUGCACGCAACGUAUGCGGAAUUCAUGGUGUAGCGGUGAAAUGCUUAGAUAUCAUGACGAACUCCGAUUGCGAAGGCAGCGUACGGGAGUGUUACUGACGCUUAAGCUCGAAGGUGCGGGUAUCGAACAGGAUUAGAUACCCUGGUAGUC
rnacentral:rRNA from 1 species